rnacentral:rRNA from 1 species
UACGGAGGGUGCAAGCGUUAUCCGGAUUCACUGGGUUUAAAGGGUGCGUAGGUGGGCAAGUAAGUCAGUGGUGAAAUCUCCGGGCUUAACCCGGAAACUGCCAUUGAUACUAUUUGUCUUGAAUACUGUGGAGGUCAGCGGAAUAUGUCAUGUAGCGGUGAAAUGCUUAGAUAUGACAUAGAACACCAAUUGCGAAGGCAGCUGGCUACACAAAUAUUGACACUGAGGCACGAAAAGCGUGGGGAUCAAAGCAGGAU